ACGGGAGGCAGCAGUGGGGAAUAUUGGACAAUGGGGGAAACCCUGAUCCAGCGACGCCGCGUGAGUGAAGAAGUAUUUCGGUAUGUAAAGCUCUAUCAGCAAGGAAGAAAAUGACGGUACUUGACUAAGAAGCUCCGGCUAAAUACGUGCCAGCAGCCGCGGUAAUACGUAUGGAGCAAGCGUUAUCCGGAUUUACUGGGUGUAAAGGGAGCGUAGACGGCGAAGCAAGUCUGAAGUGAAAUGCCGGGGCUUAACCCCGGAACUGCUUUGGAAACUAUCUCGCUCGAGUACCGGAGGGGUAAGCGGAAUUCCUAGUGUAGCGGUGAAAUGCGUAGAUAUUAGGAGGAACACCAGUGGCGAAGGCGGCUUACUGGACGGUAACUGACGUUGAGGCUCGAAAGCGUGGGGAGCAAACAGGAUUAGAUACCCUGGUA
rnacentral:rRNA from 1 species